UCGAGACGGGUUGAGAUUCGAUGAUUGAUGUACAUAGCAAGAUCGGAGAGCAGAAGUGUGACAGAAUUUAUACAAGAAUGACAGUGAUGUCCUUUACUUGUUGGCUGAGUGAUGUGCGGAGAAUACACAGAGCAAUUUGGCCACCGUAUUCGGGGAGAUAUCAGUGGUGGCUGAGACCAGUGGUUGGCGACGAAGUGACGUUUGACGACGAGAAGGCGGUGUCCUGCUAGUCUGCUGGGAAGAUAACCACAAGCUGAGGUGGACCAAGGUGGUAUAAAAAUAAUCCAUCUAUGUACGUCAUCUGUACAUGGAAAUAAAAGAAAGUUUCUUCACCGGG